GGUGGUGGCGGUGGUGGGAGUAGGAAAGGAGCGAGCGUGAUGGGAGGUGCAGGGUGGAGGCGCCUGGAUCUGCGCCCUCCCACCCUUUCCUCAUCCCGAAAGGAGAGAGAGGAGGAGAAAAAAAGGGCUCCCUGCUGCACCAGUUGAUCACUUGAGCAGGGGAGAGGGGGGGGGUGAGGUUAAAAGGAAGAUGGGUAUCCUCUGGCACUCAAAAGAUUAAGCACCUUAUACUGAACUAAUGCACUUUAUUGAGAUGGGAUUUGAAUAGGUUUUUUUUUUUUUUCAUGUGUGUAUGUAUGCGUGUGUUCAGAAUCAAUGCGCAUAUGAUGUGUGUGCAUUACACAUUAUCCGUGCGCAUGUGCAUCGGAACUGGAAGGGGGCGGAGAAACAGUCGUUGGGGGUGAACGGUCGGGCUGUUAGGUUUUCAAAGUCAGGGGGACCUUUAGUUGAAACCUUAUCAGAGAGCAAAUCCUUUCUCGAAAGACAAACACUGUUGAUAUUUCUCUUGUUUAGCAUUUUUUUUUACGUUUAUAUAAAAAGUUAAAGCUAUUGAAAAAUGGAUUAUAAAAAAACUUGAAGAUUUGCACUUGCCUAAAAAAGAAAUAACAAAAACAACAAAAAAAAUCAAACAAAUGGGGUUAGUUAUAGAAGUGAAUAUUUUUGUGAAUGUGUAUGAAUGACUGAGUGACUGAUGUGUGAUGGUUGGUUUGUGUCAGUAAUAUACCAGUCUGCACAAUGUUUUUUUUUUUUUUCUUUCUUUAGUUGCUUACCAAGAUGUAUGAAACAUAAGAGGCCAUUUUUGUCUUUUUUGUUCAAAUGUUAAUUUUUUGUAUUCUCAUGUUAAGAGUGGUCGCGCGUUUGUGUCCCUUCUCCAAACGGGGACUCGAUCUGUUUGUUUAUGAGAGUGAGUGAGUGAACGAAAGAGAGAGAGAGGGCAAUUGCACAACACAUCCUUUCUCUCACCAGCUCUUCAUCCCCAGAUAGACGAAAAUAGAAAUGCAUACAUUUGUAAAUGUUAGCUUUGCGCUCAUCACACGAUGACCACCACUAGUUUAUUUCCCUUUGCUUCUCCUUCCGGGGAGCUGUCUCUAGGCCUGUGAGGACUAGAUGACAGGGCGAAUCAUGAGGGACAUUACUGUGUGUGCAUCAGAAUGAGACUUUGUACGAGUGUGUGUGUGUAUGUGUGUGUGAGAGAGAGAAAGUGGGUGUGUGUGUUUUCAGUGUGCAUGUUCAUUUACUGUUCAUAGAAAUGAGUUAAGACUACAGGUACUCAUUUUGAAUACAUGUGCUUUUUUGUAUGUGUAUGAAUGCACAUUUGUGCCUAAGAACUUGGAUAGGGUGCGUGGCCAUUGAGACAUUAACUCUUUUUUGAGAGCGAGUGUGGCGUGUGUCAGUGCUCAGCACAGUGUGUGUAAAGUAUGUAAGUUUAUAUCGUAAAUAUUUGUAGUUCAGUCUAGGGGUGAUCCAUCGGAAGGUUAGUCCAGUCUGUUUUUUCCUGGGGUGUGAUCACGUUGCCUUUUGUCAGCUCUCGAACUUGUGAAUGAAAGGUGUCGAGUUUCUGACUCUGAAAAAAAAAAAUACAGCAUCUUAAUGUGCAAGUGCACAGAACGGUGCAUGAAAUGUUAGCAUAUUGUGUUACUUCUUCGUUGUUGCAAUUUGAUAAUGACGAGUUUUCUUUUUUUAAUGAAAAAUAUAUAUGAAUAUAUACAUUAUAUACAAAGUUUAAAAAGUAUUUGGACUAAGAUAAUGAGCACUUGGGGCUGCUAUUUUUGUUGUGUGUUUUUAAUUUUUUUUUUUUCCUUAAUUUGUUUUUCAUUUUUGUUUCAUUAUCGCCAUGUGAAGUGUGUAUUAUUUCUUUCUUAAGAAAAAUAUUGAAUGUAUUCCAAAAAAAUGACAAGAAACCCGUGCUGAUACCAGAUUUUUUUUUUUCCUCAGAAGAUUUCAAAAAUGGAAACAAAAUACAAAAAAGCUUCAAAGAGUUUAGCGAGGUCUUUUUUUUAUUUACACAGUGGAGAAGAAAAAAAAAACUCGGGAUGGAUACAGUUGAACACACUGCCUCUACAAUCCUGGUCGUACAAGUAGUGACUAAGAAUUAAAAGAAAGGACUCUUUCUAUUCCAUACUGGAGCUUUGGUUGUUUACAAACCACAUGGAUAUCCGUGGGUGCAGUUUUUUGUUUUGUUUUUUUUUCUUUUUUUUCCGUUCCCACAUAAGACGGGUGGGGUUUGCAAGUGCGCUUCUGCCAUAUGGACAUUGAGUGGUGUUGGUUUUUUUUUUUUUUUUUUUUUUUCUUUUGAGGAAGAGUGGCAGGCAUCACAACAACAUGGACAAGAUCCUCUAACUGGACUUUUUUGUGUGGUCGUGGAUCCUGAGACUUGAUGAUCAACCACGGAGCAAAGGCGGGAAAAUCAAGGAUCGGCUCUGUUUUGUGUAGAACGGAGUGCAGGGCUACAGAACCCUAGAGGGGAACUGAGAGGGCGAUAUGAGUACACCUGGUUAGUGCGCUUGUCCUCACCUCAACCCUCAUAAGCACUCACACCCUGCCCUCACCAACUCACCUAUGCACUUUUGUUCAUUCAAGCUGUGAGGUACCAUUUUGGGGAUGGGAGCACAAUUUACAACAGGAGGAUUGCUACGACUUUGACAAAGUCACUGAAAAGAUAUUCCCAAACUGAAAUAAGAGACUCGAGAAGGUUGUCUUCUCCAACCUCCUGUAUAUAACCAUAUUUUUGUAUUACCUUUCUGAGUAGAAAGAAAAAUGGAUGAAGGAAAAUUCAUGAGACAUUGAUUAUAUGGAGUGAAUGUUCUUCAAGAAAACCAAUCUUUUUGAAUAUAGUUUAAGAUAGACUCGCGGUGCAUUUCCCUUAUUUUGCCAGUAACCCUGAAACAAUCGGGGGUGGAAGGGAAAACCACAUGGACUGAGGUGUUGGACAUGCUACAGUGGCUCCAAGACUGAGUGAUAGCUACUUAUCAAAAAUGGAUGUUGCAGUGGCUACAGAUGUCCCCGCCCAAGAGUGUUUGAUCAACAGACAAAGUUAAAAAAAAGAAAACAAAAAAAAGGCAGUAAUGGGUUCGAAGAGCUGUUGGCAAGGACACUUCGUCUCCCAUCCUGCUGCCUGCCUUGAGAGCCGUAGAGUCCUUGGCAUUGGAGUUUGGCUGUGCUUCAUUCGCUGCCCCUCUGCGAGGAGGAUCUAAUCUACAGCCAACCCAUGAACCAGUUAACCCUAAACCUAUCCUUUUGAACUAAAACCCUAAGAAACUUUUCUGUCUUGACCUUGGACUGGGCAGGCCAUUGGCAUUAUCAGUUGGACAGUUACCAGAUGAAGUUACAGGUUUUUUAUCGACCGUGGAUCCCAUCUGUGUUUUGGAAGUGUUAGGUUUGGGAUUUGAUCAUGCACUCUCCGCCAAGGAAGAGGAUAGAGAGGCACGAUCUGCUCAGAUGUCGUCAUCCUCCUCAGCUUGAAACUCUCGGGCGGCCGCGCGGAGGUCUUCUAACCAGCAGGAUGGAAGACCUGCCCUCCCGCCCAGAUGUCAGAGACAGAGAGCUGGGGUCGGGGGUUGGAUGGACACGGCUGAAUUAGAUCUAAGCCGCCACAAGUCCCUGCAGCUGUGGAACUGGACGAACUGAAGAAUUGUACAAAAAAAAAAAGACUUUGAAACAUAACACAUACACUUAGCUACACACCACAUAUAUUCUAGAGUGAAAAAGGAGUUGCAGACACACUACAUGUACACCUACAGCAGAAGCAACAUGCACUCAGUUAAAAUUGGCUCUCCUCUGGAACUACACCUACACACAUAACAGGGCUACAUUAGUAUCACAUCACAAUACAGUUACACACACACACACAAGCGUCAAUGCUCAUCACUAUAAACGCUGAGCUUUGUAAAUAAUGUAAAAGUUUGUGUUUUUGAUUUUUUUUUUUUCUCAUAGUGGUUUUUGCUUUAUUUCUCUGUUCAACAUGCCUUAAAUUGUAUAGUUCAGUCCUGAACAGCUAACUGAAAAUGUUCUUGAAACGAUGCCGAGUUUAAGUUGGAAACAACCUUGUUAAAUAUCUUAAGUGAAAAAAAGAGAGGAGCUUUUCUACAAGACUGUUUUCUGUUGACUAACAGAACUGUCUGUUCUGUAAUAACCUGCUACAUGUACAUCUGAUCACCGUGAAAGUUACUAGUUAGCUACAGAAUAGAGCAGCAAGCUGUUCUCGACUAUUAUUAUUUUGCUGGUUGUUGGCUUUUUUUGCCCUUUUGGUUUUGCUUUCCAAUGAAGAGUGGAUUUGUUCAGAUUUCCUGUUUAGAUUAUUGCUGAAGGUGCAGGCUUAAUAAAGGGCUGAAGUCUGUACUGUGUGGAGCUGAACUAACGGGGGUGCAGAGAAUAAGAAUUAGCUUGAAGCGCAGACUUGUUGCUGUUUGACAAAAGAUUGCAGUAAUACUGUUGGAUAUUGCAACAGAUAGCCAGAUUAAGACUAUGCUGAACCAGAGUGAGAGGUAAUCCUCAAUUUGAGAUACAAGCUGGGGCUUUUUGGUUCAUUUUUUUACACUCCGGGGGACUUUUUUACAGUUUUGAGAUGAUGUCUCAGGCCUGUAUUAGAAGCAUGAUUGUUAGGACAAGCUUGCAUUACUUGUAAUAAUUGUGGGUUUUGACACUAGACCUUGUGGAGGGUCAGAACUUGGCCUAUGUUCUCUUUCAACCAUCUCUGAUGGCACCGACUAGAUAAGGAAUGGACUAGUCAGUCAUGUGUUAGCUGAAGGGAGACUCCAUGCCAGGAAAUUUUGGAAAGUGUCUUGUAUAUCUAAUUGGAUUUGACAAAUAAGUGCUUUUAGUCAACCAUUCAUUUUUUUUGUACCAUAGAUAAUCAAUAUGGAGUUUUUAAUCCAAGUAGCAUCUGAUAUUCAUUGAUUACCAUCAGAUAAGAAUUGUAAUAAACUUUGUAUAUUUGUUAGCUGAGAUUGUGAUGGAUAGGUACCUGUCAUAGCUAACUGUGUUUACUAGAGCAGCUACAGCCUCUAGUGUGUCAUAACUGUUUAAUUGAUACUGAAUUAUAUUAAAUGGUUACCAAGUUUAAUGUGGUAUCAGGUUCCAAAACAGAGAAAUUGACUUUAACCAAUGAGUAUGCCAUCAAGUCUCUUAUUUGUGAAUGACUUUAAACAAAACUAACCUUUUUAAACACUGAUAUUGGGUGGUGCUAGUUGUUGGUCAGUCAGUCAGUCAGCCUGUCUUAAAAGGGUAAAACAUAGUUGGCAGUUUAUUGUACUGCACUACAAUGGUUUUUAUGAUUAGAUAAACUGCAGUAUUGUGUUGCCAAAAAGCCCCGGGUGUUUGGUUGCAGCCUUUUGAAAAGAUCAUGAUGGUAUGUAGUUGAUCUCCUGGUUCAUUUGUCGCUCUGGUAGUUGUCGUUCCAACAAUACUGACUAAAAAAAAAUGAUGACAAUGAUACCCCAGUUAGUUCAGCUCCUUUGCUUUAACAAGUCUUUGAAUGUUGUUGAAAAAUGACAGCGUACAUGUAACGAAACCCUUACAGAAAAGAACAACUGAAAGAUAUGUAAAUAGUUUUUGCUUUUUGUUUGUUUGAAGAACAAAAUAAAUACUGAAUAAAUAGCA